GGUCUUGAAAGGAGACUAUAAAACACCAGCCAAUCUGAAAGGAUAUUAUCAGCAGGUGAACCAGAACAGCACCUCCGCACACCUGGGAAGUUCAUGAUUUCCAGACUCUGCGCAGCUCGGAUGCCUGAGUCCUCGCCCUGUAAUGGAAGUCGGACUACCCCAAGCACGUUGCUUGCUGUCAGUGUUGCCGUGGCCUGCUGAAGUGCAGUGUUUGUACCCCUCAGCGGAAACAGACUUGGAACCUCUGCUCCAGGGCGGAUGUGGAGGAGAGAGAGACUACUUCAGCUUCGGAAACUUGGGAAUUUUCUAUUUUUUUCCUCCUUGAGAACUUUUUUUAAAGAAUUGAAUUUGCUAUCUUCCCUGAUGGACAGGCUCCUUUGUUGGCCUCAUUUCUUGGAGCAAGACCUGUGAGCCGUGCCUCUCCUUGCCUUGACUUUGACCUCAAAGGAUCUAUUUAAGAGUUUAAUAUAUGGGCUUUCCUCCAUUCUUUAGUCCUACUCAGUUUCACAGAGAAAAGAAGUUAAUUAUUUGAAUAAAGUAAACAGGCUGCUGUCUGUGCCUUACUUCA